ensembl:ncRNA Y50E8A.20 ncRNA
GAUGACAACCUUGAGCGGUUACGGUUAUUAUGUUAUGAUGAUGUGGGUGGGAGAAUGGAUUGAAGUGGGAUGAAGUGGAGAAAGAGAGACAGGAAUAAGGUGGACUUGAGAGAGAUACAACAUAUGGUUAAUGACCAUGUACGAAGUUUGAACCU